GCACUUUCUUGUGCAGUAUAUAUACUAAGAUUGGAAUAAUACAGAGAAAAUUAGCAUGGCCCAUGUACAAGCAUGACAAGCAAGUUCAUGAAGCAUUCCAUAUAUUU
ensembl:snRNA U6 U6 spliceosomal RNA